GUGUCAGCCGCCGCGGUAAUACAGAGGGUGCAAGCGUUGUUCGGAAUUAUUGGGCGUAAAGGGAGUGUAGGCGGCUUUGAAAGUCUUCUGUGAAAGCUACGGGCUUAGCCUGUAAAGUGCAGAGGAUACUCCAAGGCUAGAGUGUCGGAGAGGAUAGUGGAAUUCCCGGUGUAGAGGUGAAAUUCGUAGAGAUCGGGAGGAACACCAGUGGCGAAGGCGACUAUCUGGCUGACAACUGACGCUGAGACUCGAAAGCAUGGGGAGCAAACAGGAUUAGAAACCCGAGUAGUCC
rnacentral:rRNA from 1 species